AAUAAUUUUAAAAAACAGACCCAGUCUAACUACUAUAACAUCUAAAAUUUUUAAAAUAUAAUUCCCGACCUGUAUUUUAGACAGUACAGCACAAAGGACUACAAUGGCACUUUAGCAGAGGGAAGGAUUUUUUUCUUCUUAAUAGAAAAUAGAACUUGAACAGGGCCUUGUGGAAUUGGUUGCAGUUGAGAAGAGUUCAGUAGGGAAACAACAUGAACAAGGUCUUGGGAACGAAGAAUAGCAUUUUUAUGGAGAGUUAUGACAUAUGCCCUGAAGAGUAUCUCACUCUUAAGACAUUUAGUGAGAAAUGUCACACUGGCUUUGGUACCUAUGGUUGAAUUUAUGGCGAUAGUUCUUGUUUGACAACAUUUUAUUGUGAAAAUUUUCAAACAUGCAAAAAAGUUAAAAUAGUUAUAAAGUGAAUAAUUCUUAUACCUGCCACCUAAAUUCUACAGUUAACAUUUUACUUGUAAUCACAUAAUUUAUCUAUGAAUGGCCUUUGCUGUUUUUAUUCUCUAUUUGUCCUUUUAUUUCUUUUUAGAGAAGAGAAGGUGUUCUUAGUUCAGAUGAUGUCAUUGUAUUAGAUGAUUGCAAGGUUCUACUGGGAUAUGUGCUAAAUUGAAUCAAAGAAUGGGCUGAAGGUGCUGAAUAAGGAAAGUUGCUUAUCAGCUGGCCAGCAUGGGGAUCUGAAUCCUCGACCUUGGUGUUACACCACCACCCUGCCCUGUAACACACUACAGUGUUAUAAGACUGCCAUCUUGGUGGACUUCACUUGCCUUCCAGCUUGCAUACUUCCAUCAAGCAAGCUAUGAUGGCCAGGCCUUUGUGACAAGGAUUUCAAGGCAGCCUCCAAUCAACAGCCCACAUGGCACAGAAUCCUGCCAAUACCCAUGAGAGCACACUAGGAAGCAAAUCCUUCCCACCCGAACCUUGACUGCAGCCUGUGAGACCUUGAAAUGAAGGACCCAGCUGAGCCAUACCUGGAUUCCUGACCCAGAGACACUGAGAUGUUGCUAAAAUCCACUGUUUUAAGGUGAUUUGUUACACAGUAAUAGAUAACCAAUACAACAUACUCUGUAUGUACAACUCACAAUAAAGUCACUAACUCUGGA